rnacentral:rRNA from 1 species
UUGGCUCUCGCAUCGAUGAAGAACGCAGCGAAUCGCGAUAAGUAAUGUGAAUUGCAGAUUUUCCGUGAAUCAUCGAAUCUUUGAACGCACCUUGCGCUCCUCGGUAUUCCGAGGAGCAUGCCUGUUUGAGUGUCAU